GAAGGUAUAGCUCAGUGGUAGAGCAUGUGCACAGUAUGGAUGAGGUCCUGGGCUCAACCCCCAGUACCUUCA
rnacentral:tRNA from 1 species